GAUGAACGCUGGCGGCGUGCCUAAUACAUGCAAGUCGAGCGAACAGAUAAGGAGCUUGCUCCUUUGACGUUAGCGGCGGACGGGUGAGUAACACGUGGGUAACCUACCUAUAAGACUGGAAUAACUCCGGGAAACCGGGGCUAAUGCAGGAUAACAUGUUGAACCGCAUGGUUCUACAGUGAAAGGCGGCUUUGCUGUCACUUAUAGAUGGACCCGCGCCGUAUUAGCUAGUUGGUGAGGUAACGGCUCACCAAGGCAACGAUACGUAGCCGACCUGAGAGGUGGGUAGGCGGCCCGGGAGCGGGAACGCGGACAAGGCGACUGCGGGAGGCAGCAGACGGGAAUCGUACGCAACGGUGGAAAACAUGACAGAGCAGCGGCGAGCGAGAGAUGAAAGUCCUCGGUUCGUGAUACUGGGUUAUUGGGUAAAAACAAAUGCGUAAGGAAAUGUGCGCGGAUUGACGGUAACGAGUAAGAAAGCAACGGCUAACUACGUG
rnacentral:rRNA from 1 species